rnacentral:lncRNA from 1 species
UGAAUACCCAAGAGACUCAGGCAGUAAAAGGCUGAAGGCCAGACAACAAGGCACUGGAUCUAGGACAGGGGAAAAUGGCUGCUCCGUUUUCGAGAUCCGUCUGGGCAGCUGACUUUGCAGAUGGGAUCUACUGGUUGCAUUUCUAAGCUUGAGAGAUCAUCUUCUCUUUACCUUGAAGAUGCAAUGGAAAUGAUGCCUGGAUGACAGUGGUGGGACCAAUCUCCAACACUCGGCUGGAUACCUCUUCUACCAAAUCAGGUCUGGAAACAGACACUUGAGCAAGAGGUGUUGGAACCAGUGUUUAAAUUGUGAAAGAUCAUUGCUUCAAGAUGCUGGGACGGCUCUGACAACGAAGAAGGAAAGAGGAACAGAGGUGGGCAAGAUGGAGUCUUACCUGGGAUAGUCAAGAAUUGUGCAAGGCCAAGCCAAUAUGGAAGGAGGAGAAUCUAAAAACACAGAGAAACUUACUUGGAGAUGGCAGGGCUUUGGCUGAAGGACCCAAAGUGUAAACUGGAACAGCAUAUGUAGAAUCUACCUUGUUCUUUACCCUGGAGAAGUCCUGUUGUGGUUCCACACCCUUCUGUCAAGCAGGUCCCUGAGGGGAUGCCACCCUUCUGCUGUCACCUAUAAUCCACGAGUGAUCCUCCGAAUCAUCCUUUGUGGUGACCGCCACACACAUGCAGUUUACCCAGAGAGAGACACAGCAUCUCUACAGAAUGGAGCAGAGAGAGUGGGAAACGGCAGAGAGAGAGAG